rnacentral:rRNA from 1 species
UGAGUAUAGUUGAGGUAGCUGGAAUGAGUAGUGUAGCGGUGAAAUGCAUAGAUAUUACUCAGAACACCGAUUGCGAAGGCAGGUUACCAAGUUAUAACUGACGCUGAGGGACGAAAGCGUGGGGAGCGAACAGGAUUAGAUACCCUGGUAGUCCACGCCGUAAACGAUGCUAACUCGUUUUUGGGCUAUAUGGUUCAGAGACUAAGCGAAAGUGAUAAGUUAGCCACCUGGGGAGUACGACCGCAAGGUUGAAACUCAAAGGAAUUGACGGGGGCCCGCACAAGCGGUGGAUCAUGUGGUUUAAUUCGAUGAUACGCGAGGAACCUUACCAAGGCUUAAAUGGGAAUUGACAGCUGUAGAAAUACGGUUUUCUUCGGACGAUUUUCAAGGUGCUGCAUGGUUGUCGUCAGCUCGUGCCGUGAGGUGUUAGGUUAAGUCCUGCAACGAGCGCAACCCCUGUCACUAGUUGCCAUCAUUAAGUUGGGGACUCUAGUGAGACUGCCUACGCAAGUAGAGAGGAAGGUGGGGAUGACGUCAAAUCAUCACGGCCCUUACGCCUUGGGCCACACACGUGAUACAAUGGCCGGUACAGAGGGCA